rnacentral:rRNA from 1 species
UGGGGAAUAUUGCACAAUGGGCGAAAGCCUGAUGCAGCGACGCCGCGUGAGGGAUGACGGCCUUCGGGUUGUAAACCUCUUUCAGCAGGGAAGAAGCGAAAGUGACGGUACCUGCAGAAGAAGCGCCGGCUAACUACGUGCCAGCAGCCGCGGUAAUACGUAGGGCGCAAGCGUUGUCCGGAAUUAUUGGGCGUAAAGAGCUCGUAGGCGGCUUGUCACGUCGGGUGUGAAAGCCCGGGGCUUAACCCCGGGUCUGCAUUCGAUACGGGCAGGCUAGAGUGUGGUAGGGGAGAUCGGAAUUCCUGGUGUAGCGGUGAAAUGCGCAGAUAUCAGGAGGAACACCGGUGGCGAAGGCGGAUCUCUGGGCCAUUACUGACGCUGAGGAGCGAAAGCGUGGGGAGCGAACAGGAUUAGAUACCCUGGUAGUCCACGCCGUAAACGGUGGGAACUAGGUGUUGGCGACAUUCCACGUCGUCGGUGCCGCAGCUAACGCAUUUAACG